rfam:Erinaceus europaeus unplaced genomic scaffold scaffold00006, whole genome shotgun sequence
AUAAAAAUCUCAGUACCAAUAAUAACAUUGGAAGGUUGCAGAGAUUAGCAUGGACCCUGAGCAAGAAUGACACAUAAAUUUGUAAAAUAUUCCAUAACUUU